UUAACUGUGACCUCUUAACUCCCACUAAUUAACCAUCAUAUCAUUUAUAAAUGCAUAUAUAUAUAUAGGUCAAUUAUAUUUAUAUACUACCAAAAUUUAAAUUUAGCCAACACAAUAAUGAAAAAAAUUCUUACAAAAACGUUCCAUACUACCAAAUAUAGCUUUUCCCUUAAUAAUUCUUUUUAAUUUUUUGGUAUGAAAAGAAAGCGAGAGAAAAAAGUGUUUAUUUUUUUUGUUGUUGUUGUUACAGUUGUUGAUUCAUCAUUUUCACAAUCAUCUGAAGCACCAGUUAAGAGAAGGAAGAAGAAGAGGAAGAUGGUACAUGAGAGAGCAUAUUAGGGAACGUACCACUUUGGUUAUGUAAAAACAGGCGAUGAUGAAGUCGAAGACGGAACUCAAAUGUACUUUUCAAAGUGUCUGUCUACUCCAUCUUUUUAUUUAUAUAGUGUGGAGAGCAGCUGUAACUAUGAUACGUAUCCUUCAUCUCUCUCUCUCUUUUCUCUAUUUAUAGAUAGUAAGAGAUAUGGAGACAGAGUCAGCUCCAACGUGUCAAUGCUACUCACAAUUCGUGAAUCGUGGCGUCUCUGUCUCUAUCCGAUUUAUUUCCCUAUAUUUUCCUAUCGGAGCCACACCAAUUUGCAUACGUAAAGGUAAGAAGAGUUAAUGACACUUUUGAGGAGUCUUUGAUGACGACCGAAAGCAGUCUAGCCACCUUACCUGACAUUCAUUCUGAUGAUUUUUCUCUCUUUAUAGAUGUAUACUAAAGCAGUCUAGUUAUAGAUUUUGAUACAAACUUUUGAGCUCUCAAACAAAGCUUUGCUCAAACAGAAAAGUUUUAUUAAUAAGCAGACUUCAACA